rnacentral:rRNA from 1 species
UACGGAGGGGGCUAGCGUUGUUCGGAAUUACUGGGCGUAAAGGGCUCGUAGGCGGCCAACUAAGUCGGACGUGAAAUCCCUCGGCUUAACCGGGGAACUGCCUCUGAUACUGGAUGGCUUGAGAUUGGGAGAGGGAUGGCGGAAUUCCAGGUGUAGCGGUGGAAAAUGCGGUAGAUAUCUGGAGGAACACCGGUGGCGAAGGCGGCAUCCUGGACCAACACGUGACGCUGAG